UGCUCUUUACCAAGUGAGUGGCGGACGGGUGAGUAACACGUGGGUAACCUGCCCAUUAGAGGGGGAUAACAUUCGGAAACGGAUGCUAAUACCGCAUAGUUUCAGGAAUCGCAUGAUUCUUGAAGGAAAGGUGGCUUCGGCUACCACUAAUGGAUGGACCCGCGGCGUAUUAGCUAGUUGGUGAGGUAAUGGCUCACCAAGGCAAUGAUACGUAGCCGACCUGAGAGGGUGAUCGGCCACACUGGGACUGAGACACGGCCCAGACUCCUACGGGAGGCAGCAGUAGGGAAUCUUCCGCAAUGGACGAAAGUCUGACGGAGCAACGCCGCGUGAGUGAAGAAGGUUUUCGGAUCGUAAAACUCUGUUGUUAAAGAAGAACAAGGAUGAGAGUAACUGCUCAUCCCCUGACG
rnacentral:rRNA from 1 species